rnacentral:lncRNA from 1 species
CCUGUGGCUUUCACUGAGAGUAACUGUGCUGCUCCGGCAUGGAAGGGCUUCCCUGACUUGCCGACAGCAGUGGUGCUCUUAUCACUCUCUGGCCUGUGAAUGAUCCAGCUCCUGAUCCUCAUCCUGAAGAUCUGAAUUCUAAGUCAAUUCUGGUACCAAACAGAAAGCUGUAUGCAUGUGCUUUAUUUGUGGAAUCGAUCCUAGGAAACAAUCUCACAGUAUUGCAGCAAGAGGUCUAAAACUUCCUGUCAUAAAACAGGAAUAUCUGCUUGUUCUGACAAGGAUUCUCAAGAGGACUCCACUUAAUUCAAAGGCUUCAGAAGCAAAGGAGGAGAAGAGGAGGCAAGCAGAUGAACAGUGCAGCAGAGAAAAAGAGAAGAGAAGGAAUGUCUGAACGACAAGAGGAAUUCAGCUGGGGGGCAGUCAGAGAGGAAUUCAGCUGCUGGACAGCC